GCCCAGACUCCUACGGGAGGCAGCAGUGGGGAAUAUUGCACAAUGGGGGAAACCCUGAUGCAGCAACGCCGCGUGAGUGAAGAAGUAUUUCGGUAUGUAAAGCUCUAUCAGCAGGGAAGAAGAUGACGGUACCUGAUUAAGAAGCCCCGGCUAACUACGUGCCAGCAGCCGCGGUAAUACGUAGGGGGCAAGCGUUAUCCGGAUUUACUGGGUGUAAAGGGAGCGUAGACGGCAUGGCAAGUCAGAUGUGAAAGCCCGGGGCCCAACCCCGGGACUGCCCUUGGAACUGUGCGGCUAGAGUGCGGGAGGGGCAGGCGGAAUUCCUGGUGUAGCGGUGAAAUGCGUAGAUAUCAGGAGGAACACCGGCGGCGAAGGCGGCCUGCUGGACCGCGACUGACGUUGAGGCUCGAAAGCGUGGGGAGCGAAAAGGAUUAGAUACCCCUGUA
rnacentral:rRNA from 1 species